GAUGAACGCUGGCGGCGUGCCUAAUACAUGCAAGUCGAGCGAACAGACGAGGAGCUUGCUCCUCUGACGUUAGCGGCGGACGGGUGAGUAACACGUGGAUAACCUACCUAUAAGACUGGGAUAACUUCGGGAAACCGGAGCUAAUACCGGAUAAUAUAUUGAACCGCAUGGUUCAAUAGUGAAAGACGGUUUUGCUGUCACUUAUAGAUGGAUCCCCGCCGCAUUAGCUAGUUGGUAAGGUAACGGCUUACCAAGGCAACGAUGCGUAGCCGACCUGUGAGGGGGGUCGCCCACACGGGAACUGAGACACGGUCCAGACUCCUACGGGAGGCAGCAGUAGGGAAUCUUCCGCAAUGGGCGAAAGCCUGACGGAGCAGCGCCGCGUGAGUGAUGAAGGUCUUCGGAUCGUAAAACUCUGUUAUUAGUGAAGAACAAAUGUGUAAGUAACUAUGCACGUCUUGACGGUACCUAAUCAGAAAGCCACGGCUAACUACGUG
rnacentral:rRNA from 1 species